rnacentral:rRNA from 1 species
GAUGAACGCUGGCGGCGUGCCUAAUACAUGCCAGUCGAGCGAACAGACGAGGAGCUUGCUCCUCUGACGUUAGCGGCGGACGGGUGAGUAACACGUGGAUAACCUAUCUAUAAGACUGGGAUAACUUCGGGAAACCGGAGCUAAUACCGGAUAAUAUAUUGAACCGCAUGGUUCAAUAGUGAAAGACGGUUUUGCUGUCACUUAUAGAUGGAUCCGCGCCGCAUUAGCUAGUUGGUAAGGUAACGGCUUACCAAGGCGACGAUGCGUAGCCGACCUGAGAGGGUGAUCAGCCACACUGGAACUGAGACACGGUCCAGACUCCUACGGGAGGCAGCAGUAGGGAAUCUUCCGCAAUGGGCGAAAGCCUGACGGAGCAACGCCGCGUGAGUGAUGAAGGUCUUCGGAUCGUAAAACUCUGUUAUUAGGGAAGAACAAAUGUGUAAGUAACUAUGCACGUCUUGACGGUACCUAAUCAGAAAGCCACGGCUAACUACGUG